UACAGAGGGUGCGAGCGUUAAUCGGAAUUACUGGGCGUAAAGAGCGCGCAGGCGGUCGUUCAAGUCGCGUGUGAAAGCCCCCGGCUCAACUGGGGAGGGUCACGCGAUACUGAUCGACUGGAAGGCAGGAGAGGGUAGUGGAAUUCCCGGUGUAGUGGUGAAAUGCGUAGAUAUCGGGAGGAACACCAGUGGCGAAGGCGACUACCUGGCCUGUUCUUGACGCUGAGGCGCGAAAGCUAGGGGAGCAAACGGG
rnacentral:rRNA from 1 species